GUGAACCUUGGCCACAUCACCUCCACCUACAGACUGUACGGUCACCGUGACGUCAGUACCAGCUCCUGCCCCGGGGAUGCUCUCUAUAACGAAAUCAAAACAUGGCCGGAUUACAGUACUGCUGCACCGUAAUGCUAUAUGUAUAUAUAUGUCCUACAAACAGGAAAUGUUAUUGAACAAUUAAAAAACAUUAUAAAGUU
rnacentral:misc_RNA from 1 species